AUUAUAAACCAUCUGUCCAAAGUGGCCUUUAAACCUAUCUAUCACUCUCUCCUCCUUCGGCAGGGCAAAUAAACACGUUCGGGGCCGAGGGAUGAAAAGCGACUCAUCUCGGCACAUCCAGCUUGUCUCCAUCUGCCAACGGGCCAGGAAAGGUUUUGGUUGCCCACCUGUGGAGGUGAUGUUGCGAGGUGGUGAGGAUCACAUCGUGACCCAGGAUAGUCAAACAGGCGCUAAGGUCUGCCCACUGGACCAGCUCUCCAAGAGGACCCCCUGUGUCCACCGUGGCUUGGAAAUGUUGGCCUGCAGGCCCAGCGAGAGCACCGGGGUAAAGCAGAACCUACAGGUCAAUAGAAACACGAAAAGUUCAAACCUGUUGUGGCUCCGCCCCCCCAGUCUCUACCAGUGACAACAAGCAUGUUCAAACCCUCAUGAGGGAUGCAUGUGUCUUGUUCUGCUGCAUCAUCUUGAGGGCAGCCUGUCUCCAGCAUUCCGACAUCAUUUCCACUCUGGAGCGCAUGAAUCCAAGUGCCGGGCCGCUGCUGUUAUUGAUGACUUCAUAGAGUGAACUCAUAGUCGUCCUUAUCAUUGCCUGCGUGAAAAGCAGCAAACUGGUGUAGGGAUGUCAAGCAAGUGGAGUCCUCAUUGAAAUUCUGAUACCUUCUUUGUGUAGGGCUGAGCUUUCUGAUGCCAAGGAGGUGAAAAGUGGUUUCGUCCAGGUUGAGGCGGGCAGAAGUUUUCUAUUUGACUGAGAAGCAUGUGGAGAGCCUCUGAGGUCAUGGUAGCAUCACGCUCUCUGCUCAGCCGCUGCACCUGAGUACCAAGAGCUUCCAAGCGAAGGGCCAGCCUACGAAAACGAGGACCUCGCUGACCCUGGUCGUC